GGGAGGCGGAGGGAGGGACACGGAGGGACGUUGCGGCCGAUGGAGGGCGUUGGAAACUACAGUAAUUUAUCUUCUGCCUGCAUAUUCCGGGCUUGUUAUAGUAAUCAUAUAACGUUUUGUCUUAUGGGUGGUAUUUAAAUGUUGCAUCCUGGGACUGUGAGGAUACGGAAUAUGAAUAAUAUCAAGUGAAAUUAGAUAUUUUAAUAAUCACUUUAUUGGCAAGAUUUUUUUCCUGAUGGUUGUUAAAAAAAAAAAAAAAAACUUCUGCUGAGUAAGUUGUUUUUUUUAUGUAAUAGAGAAUUUUUGUUAUUUUUAUUGAAGCUGUGAUGCUGCUCAUUGCUUCAGACCGAGAGGCUGCAGCACAACGAGCCCUGCGCGUGUUUUGGGGGCGGUAGUGAAUGCAACAGUUGCUCUUUCGUCAUUGGCUGAGAGCAGUGUCCAACCGCUGCUACAGCAGGUUUAGAAUCUCACAGGCAGCCAAUGAGAGGAGAGGAGGGGCCUGUGGAGGGCGGAGCAACUUGGGCAUCACUCAGUGACUCUCUCCAUCUCGUAAUAGUGUUAAAUAGUCACACUCAUGGGGGCAUUCGUGAAGUUAUUAAAGCGUUGGCACCUUAAACUCUUCUGACUCAUAAUCCAAUGUUUUCCCGGAAAAAACCUAGAAAUGUCAAAACGAGCAGUGAGCGUCAGUAAUGAGCACGUUAGCACCGGUUAGCGGUUCAGCUCUACAUUGUGGGGCCAUGAUGGAGCCAGGUGUCAUGAUGGGGUCUUAACAGUCUCCGCCCUCACGGAGCUGGGUCGAUCGUACGUCUUUUGUCAUCCGUCUGAUCUUCAGCGACUUGACGGACAUGCAGCAGUUACUGCAGAAAUAAUCCUGAUUGUAAUAUUCCUGAAGAGGUUUGCCGCCUGGUGUACUGUGGGACCGGUCGUUAGAACUCCAAAAGCUGAGGCCCUCUGGCCUCCUGCACCCCAAGGCGCCUUCGCCCUGUCACGGAUCAUGCUCUGUAAAGUGGGUCUCUCGCAGUUUGACAUGUGUUUGUGCUGACUGGCUAGUUGUCGACACGCCACAGAACGUAUAGACUGAGUCCCGUGAGGUGAGCAUCUCUGAGGAGACGCCCUUCACAGCAUCACGUAACCGUGUGCGUGUGUGUGUGUGCGCGUGUGUGUGUGCGUGUGUGUGUGCGUGUGUGCUUGAGGCUGAUUCAGUAAGUAACUACAUGUUUUAAAGCCACAUUUGACUGUUACCAUCUCACCAGAAACACAAACACAUGCUGGAUGUGCAGCAACGCUCUGAUUUAUAUUCCGACGGCGUAUCUUUUUUUUUUUUUACUCAUUAGUCGAUAUAAAUGUAAAUUGCAUAUGUUUGGUUUGGAAACGGCUUUGUAACUUAUUAAGCUUCAGGAUCAAACUGCGGAGCUAUUUUUCCAUCUGCCAAUUAACGUUCCUGUUAAAAAGCCGAGUGCAUUUUUUCCUCGUUAUCACCCGAGAGUGGUCUGCAAAGAGAUACCAAUAAGUCACUCGGCCCUCUUUGGUCUUUAGGUCUUUGUAAAAAAAACUUAAUUUGAUAAGUUGGGUGAGUUUUUUACCACGUUAACAUAAAAGAUCAGCGAGUAAAGUAACUUGAGUUCCACUAAAAAAUGAAUAAUUUCAUCCAACAAUUAGCAAAGACUGUUGAUGGCAUGAUGCUACUAGAAAUGGUUGUUAUUGGUUACAAUGAACUUUGGAAAAAGCACAGUCGCUUCCCUUUGACGAAUGUUUGCAACGAGAAGCAUCUUCUGUGACAAUAAGACAGUUGAAUGAAGAUCUUUUGUGAAGAUGAGACAUUCAAGUCAAGAUUUGUUCUGAUGAGGCAUUUGCAUAACAGCUUCUUUUCUACUUUUAUAAUAAAAACUGACUCUACAAAUAAAACAGACAAUAUUCUUGUUCCAAAUUGCUUCUUAUUUGUGGAUAAAGUCCCCGUUCCCCCCUCCACCCCCCUCCUCACAUUCACUCGCUGGCCUACAAAUGUCCUUUUACAUACAUGUGAAUAUCAAAGGUAUAAAAUGCAUACUAGCACUGCCCCCCCCGGUUUAUCACACCCACUUCAAUUCAAUUUGGGACUGUCGGCACGGUAACUGAGCUGGG
ensembl:lncRNA